ensembl:lncRNA
GGCAUUCUCUGGAUUUAUGGUGCUUUAGACACAACUGGGAACUCAGGAAAAAAAUGAUGACGUCAGUGAUCUUCAGGUCGUAGCUGUAGAAAGAGGCCCGAGUUCCCAAUUUACAAUUCCGAGUUGGAUGAAAGUUCAAAAUGUAUUUUCCCAGUCGUAGCUUGCUUUUCCCUGAGUUCCCAGUUGUCUUGAACUCACUCAAGUCAGAUUUUGCAGUACCGAGUUAAGUUGAUUUGAGCGCGGCACAAAUCAAGCUUCAUUGACAGCAUGGCCAAUGUUGAAUGUUUACAAUUUUAAACUAGGAAAAAAGCCCCUUAAUCUUAGACUUGAGACCACAGAGCCACUCCAAUGAAUAGCAGGCUAAUGAUUGCUUUGCAAUGCUUGCAGUUAGCCACUGAUUCCUUCCAAACCACUCAUUGUUGAAUUUGCAAUUUGUUUUGUAAUGUUUAUGUCCAAUGACCGAUGAGUACCGAUACCUUUUCUCUAUAAUUUCUCAUUAUUUCUCUUCAUAUGACAAAGAUUAAAAAGGAUUUGCCAGUAGAUUGUCGACUUGAUUCAUGAUGAUGACUGCUAGCUCAGAUGUUGAAAGUACGAUGUUGACAUGAUCAGUCCAAUCAAAGCGACUGUAGAAAUAACAUGAUUUGACGUUACUUUAUCUGUGGACAAUGACCUUGAGCCUUCUUGGAUGGGCACUUCUAAUGUAACUCUAUGGCAGCACCCAAGGGGCUUGAAUUUUCAAGUUCUACCCUUAGACUUGGCAGUGAUGUAUUGUCCCCAUGAAUGACAAAACACUGAGCCAAUCACAGCGCUAAGCUCAGUAUUUUCUGCUGGCUUGCCCCACCUCCACAGAAAGCACUGAUCUAGGCUGAAACACCUGCAUUUUGGAGAUGCCUUACUCAAGAAAACCAAAUAGACCAUGUUUGUAUGCGGCUUUAUUAACAAGUCAAUAACAUGUUUUUUUACAUUGUUUGCAAACAGAUACUUUAUUUUCUCACUGUUUUAUUGCUAAAACUGUGGGGCUCAAAACAGGUGGCUCACCUGCCCUGAAUGAUGGGUCUCCACUGAACUUAUCUAGAACACUGCAGUCCGUCUGGGUGUUUAACCUUCCCAAGAUCCCCCAUGUCACCCUGCUCCUCCGUACAUUCCACUGGCUUACAGUUGAAGCUCACAUCCACUACAAGACAAUGGUGUUUACUUACGGUGCAGCAAGAAGAACUGCCCCAUCUCUACCUUCAGGCUCAAACCCUGUAUCCCAACCCGAGCACUCAGUUCUGCCACCUCUGGUCUCAUGGCCGUCCCACUGCUACAGGAGGUCAACCUCUCAGCCCAGUCUAAGCACUUCUCUGUCCUACUGUCAUACUGUCAUAUCUAAUAUGAAGAACUGAAUACAACCAUAAGAACCAUUCAUACUGUCAGAUCUAAUAUGAAGAACUGAAUACUAAAGAGAAGAAGAGGUUGACCAGUACAUAUUCAUGUAACUUUAUUUUUCAUUGGCAGAUCAAUAAAGUUUGCUUCAAUGCAUUAUCCAAACACAUUCAUGAUCAGUAACUAAAAUAACUCAUCUAGUUUUAAAGACAAUUAAUAAACACAUGUAUUCAUUUCAUAAACUGUGUAUCAUUAAAUAAAGUUUAAAA